rnacentral:rRNA from 1 species
UACAGAGGGUGCGAGCGUUAAUCGGAAUUACUGGGCGUAAAGCGUGCGUAGACGGUUAUUUAAGUCGGGUGUGAAAGCCCCGGGCUCAACCUGGGAAUUGCAUUCGAGACUGAAUAGCUAGGGUACGGUAGAGGGAAGUGGAAUUCCGGUGUAGCGGUGAAAUGCGUAGAUAUCGGAAGGAACAUCAGUGGCGAAGGCGGCUUCCUGGACCGACACUGACGCUGAGGCGGCGAAAGCUAGGGGAGCAAACGGGG